CUACGUGACGCAGCAGUGGGGAAUAUUGCGCAAUGGGGGAAACCCUGACGCAGCAACGCCGUGUGAGGGAUGAAGGCUUUCGGGUCGUAAACCUCUGUCAGGCAGGACGAAACAUCUAAACAUGAAUAAUGUUUAGAUCUGACGGUACUGCCAGAGGAAGCCCCGGCUAACUCCGUGCCAGCAGCCGCGGUAAUACGGAGGGGACAAACGUUGUUCGGAAUUAUUGGGCGUAAAGAGCGCGUAGGUGGUCAGAAAAGUCAGACGUGAAAUCCCUCUGCUCAACAGAGGAAGGGCGUUUGAAUCGCUCUGGCUUGAGUGUGGGAGAGGAGAGUGGAAUUCCCAGUGUAGCGGUGAAAUGCGUAGAUAUUGGGAAGAACACCAGUGGCGUAGGCGGCUCUCUGGCCCAUUACUGACACUGAGGCGCGAAAGCUAGGGGAGCAAACGGGAUUAGAUACCCCUGUAGUC
rnacentral:rRNA from 1 species